AUGUUCUUCAUAGACGGCGUCGUGGAUUCGCCAUGAUCAAGGUGGUUCGAGGAUUCGGAUCGUGAGUUCGAGGAUUCGAGUAGCGUUCGUGGAUUCGGACGUGUGCGAGGUGUUCGUGGAUUCGAACGUGAGGGCGUGGACAACCCGGAGGAUUGCGCGAGAUUCAUAAGAGGUUAAGAGAGGUCGAGUCCGUGGGUCGGUAAUCACCUUGUAAUCUUUUCUCUUAGUGAAUUAUUUUUUUGCGUGUUGGUCCCGUAGGUUUUUACUC
rnacentral:lncRNA from 1 species